GUGAAAGUUUCCAAGGGCGCAUGGUGGAUGCCUUGGCAACAGGAGCCGAAGAAGGACGUGGGAAUCUGCGAUAAGCCUGGUGGAGUCGAUAACCGGACGUUGAGACCAGGAUUUCCGAAUGGGGAAACCCCGCACGACGUGUCGUGUGACCCCCCGGUUGAACACAUAGACCGGGUGGAGGGAACGUGGGGAAGUGAAACAUCUCAGUACCCACAGGAAGAGAAAACAAAAGUGAUUCCGUUAGUAGUGGCGAGCGAACGCGGAUGGGGCUAAACCGUAUGUGUGUGAUACCCGGCAGGGGGUUGCAUGUGCGGUGUUGUGGGCCCCCUCCUUGUCAUGUCUGCCGGCAUGGCGCAGUGAGGUGCGGGCAUAUAGACGAACCAGUGUGGAUGCUGGACCGUAGAGGGUGAGAGUCCCGUAGUUGAAAUGUGUUCCGCCGCUGUUGGGGGGGGUUGCCCGAGUAGCACGGGGCCCGAGGAAUCCCGUGUGAAUCUGCCAGGACCACCUGGUAAGCCUGAAUACUACCUGUUGACCGAUAGCGGAUCAGUACCGUGAGGGAAUGGUGAAAAGUACCCCCGGGAGGGGAGUGAAAUAGUACCUGAAACCAUGUGCCUACAAACCGUUGGAGCCUCCUUGUGGGGUGACAGCGUGCCUUUUGAAGAAUGAGCCUGCGAGUUAGUGAUACGUGGCGAGGUUAACCCGUGUGGGGAAGCCGUAGCGAAAGCGAGUCUGAAUAGGGCGAUUGAGUCGCGUGUCCUAGACCCGAAGCGGAGUGAUCUACCCAUGGCCAGGUUGAAGCGCGUGUAAGAGCGCGUGGAGGACCGAACCCACUUCAGUUGAAAAUGGAGGGGAUGAGCUGUGGGUAGGGGUGAAAGGCCAAUCAAACUCCGUGAUAGCUGGUUCUCCCCGAAAUGCAUUUAGGUGCAGCGUCACGUGUUUCUUCCCGGAGGUAGAGCUACUGGAUGGACGAUGGGCCCUACAAGGUUACUGACUUCAGCCAAACUCCGAAUGCCGGGAAGUGAGAGCGUGGCAGUGAGACUGUGGGGGGAUAAGCUUCAUAGUCGAGAGGGAAACAGCCCAGACCACCGGUUAAGGCCCCUAAGCGUGUGCUAAGUGGGAAAGGAUGUGGAGUUGCUGAGACAACCAGGAGGUUGGCUUAGAAGCAGCCACCCUUGAAAGAGUGCGUAAUAGCUCACUGGUCAAGUGAUUCCGCGCCGACAAUGUAGCGGGGCUCAAGUACACCGCCGAAACCGUGGCAUUCAGUUUUGCUGGAUGGGUAGGGGAGCGUCGUUCACGAGGUGAAGCCAGCGGGUAACUUCUGGUGGAUUGUGGACGAGUGAGAAUGCAGGCAUGAGUAGCGAAAGACGGGUGAGAAACCCGUCCGCCGGAUGACUAAGGGUUCCAGGGUCAAGCUAAUCUGCCCUGGGUAAGUCGGGACCUAAGGCGAGGCCGACAGGCGUAGUCGAUGGACAACGGGUUGAUAUUCCCGUACCAGUGAAGAACCGCCCAUGCUGAGCCGGUGAUACUAACCGCCCGAACCAUCCCGAUCCUCGUCUUUGACGGGGACGGUGGUGGGGAGCGCGGGACCUGAACCGGGGAGGCAAGCGCAUUAACAGGUGUGACGCAGGAAGGUAGCCGGGCCGGGCAAUGGAAAUGACCUGGUCUAAGGGUGUAGGGCUGCCGGUAGGUAAAUCCGCCGGCUGUGUGCCUGAGACCUGAUGGGCGCCCACGUGGUGGGUGAUCCGGUGAUCCUAUGCUGCCUAGAAAAGCAUCGGCGUGAGGUUCAAACUGCCCGUACCCUAAACCGACACAGGUGGUCAGGUAGAGAAUACUAAGGCGAUCGAGAGAAUCAUGGUUAAGGAACUCGGCAAAAUGCCCCCCGUAACUUCGGGAGAAGGGGGGGGCCCCAACCUUGAGCGCCACUCGCUGGUGUGAGGGGAUCGGGGCCGCAGAGACCAGGGGGGAAGCGACUGUUUAUCAAAAACACAGGUCCAUGCGAAGUCGUAAGACGAUGUAUAUGGACUGACUCCUGCCCGGUGCUGGAAGGUUAAGGGGACCUGUUAGCUUCGGCGAAGCGGAGAACUUAAGCCCCAGUAAACGGCGGUGGUAACUAUAACCAUCCUAAGGUAGCGAAAUUCCUUGUCGGGUAAGUUCCGACCUGCACGAAUGGAGUAACGACUUCCCCGCUGUCUCAACCGUGAACUCGGCGAAAUUGCAUUACGAGUAAAGAUGCUCGUUACGCGCAGAAGGACGGAAAGACCCCGUGACCUUUACUAUAGUUUGGUAUUGGUGUUCGGUGUGGCUUGUGUAGGAUAGGUGGGAGACUGUGAAGCGGGCACGCCAGUGUUCGUGGAGUCGUCGUUGAAAUACCACUCUGGUCACUCUGGAUAUCUAACUUCGGCCCGUGAUCCGGGUCAGGGACAGUGCCUGAUGGGUAGUUUAACUGGGGCGGUUGCCUCCCAAAAUGUAACGGAGGCGCCCAAAGGUUCCCUCAGCCUGGUUGGCAAUCAGGUGUCGAGUGCAAGUGCACAAGGGAGCUUGACUGUGAGAGUGGCAGCUCGAGCAGGGACGAAAGUCGGGACUAGUGAUCCGGCGGCUCGUUGUGGAACGGCCGUCGCUCAACGGAUAAAAGGUACCUCGGGGAUAACAGGCUGAUCUUGCCCAAGAGUCCAUAUCGACGGCAUGGUUUGGCACCUCGAUGUCGGCUCGUCGCAUCCUGGGGCUGGAGUAGGUCCCAAGGGUUGGGCUGUUCGCCCAUUAAAGCGGUACGCGAGCUGGGUUCAGAACGUCGUGAGACAGUUCGGUCCCUAUCCUCUGCGCGCGUUGGAAAUUUGAGAAGGUCUGUCCUUAGUACGAGAGGACCGGGACGGACGAACCUCUGGUAUGUCAGUUGUACCGCCAGGUGCAUGGCUGAUUAGCUACGUUCGGGAUGGAUAACCGCUGAAAGCAUCUAAGCGGGAAGCCGGCUUCGAGAUGAGAUUUCCUUGCCCCUUUGAGGGUGUGAGGCCCCCCAGCUAGAACACUGGGUUGAUAGGCUGGAUGUGGAAGCGAGGACUGAAGACUCGUGAAGCUGACCAGUACUAAUAGGCCGAUGACUUACACAC
rnacentral:rRNA from 1 species